UAUUCAAACCCUAACUUCAUCUCUUCAUCAAGAAAUUCUUAUUCGUGACACCGUCUCUAUUCAAACCCUAACUUCACCUUCUUCAUUAAGAAAUUUCUGGUCAUUGUUUUGAAUGUUGCUUGCUAUGUUACAGAAUUGAUGAGCAGAUCAAUCGCUAUUUGUAAUUGAAACCCUAACUAUCAAAAAGCGAUUCCGAUUCCGUCAAUCUUGCCUAAAAUCAGAGGAAGGCAGAUUCGGUGGUUCCGGUUCUGUUUUCUUCUUUCUCCUUAGUCGAAAGAAUUGCUGCAAAAUUCAGCACCGCCGCCAGCACCCUUCUUCUUACCGACAUUGUGUCUUUUGCUUGCAAUUGGGUUGCUCCAAGUUCGAUUCAUCAGUAUGGCUUGAUAAGAAUUGGGCUUUGGUUUGUUUAAAUUCAUAUAUUCAAGCUCUAUUACAAUAAAUAAGUGGAUUCUUGCUGAUCGCAACCAGCAUGUUUGGCAUCUAGCCAUCUAAGUGUGUUAUGCUGUGAGAUGGUUGAAGCAGCUGCAUCAAGACCAGGAAUCACGGGCCCUUGGAUCACUAAAUCAUAUCUUGAAAUGAUUCUGUCAUUGCAGCCAAUGUUAUUACCGAUCGAGAUUCCAUAAGGUUUUGAGGAUUUGGUUUUAUUAGUUUUACAUCAACUGACGCAGCUGAUAGCGCUCUCUGUUUCCCUGCAUAAAAACCUAAAUCAAAGAGACGAACUCUCAUCCAGAUCUGGAUCAAGAUGUAGAAGGCGAGCUGUGGUUGUUUUCUUCGAUAUCGUUGAAGAACAUAUACACUGAUCUUCAGGAUGUCGGGGUUUGCUUCUUCAAAGAUGAUAUACGCUGUUUAAGAAUUUGGAUGACCUGGAGGAAGAGGACUCUAUAGAGUUAUGGACAAUCUAUCUACCAUUGUAGCCAUUGCCUAUUUAGUUAUAUUCGUUAUUGUGGGAUGGGCUACUAUCGAGUUAUUGACGAUCUAAUUAUCUACCUGUUACUACUUAUUUAUUAGAUUGAUAAGCUGCUGGCUACCAAUCUUUAAUGGGAACACAUCGUCAUGGAGUCAUGGCCAGUGGAGACCAAUCCUCACUCACAAAAGAACUCUUUCUUAGGUGUUGGGCAAUCAAAUGAAGUUCAAUGGGCAUUUAUUGUUAGUGAUUUAGUGAUACUACCAUAAUACAAAUUACAUCAUUUGAUGACCCAAAGAAAAAGAAGAAUAAAAGGUGUUCAUUCAAGACCCUGUUCAAAAGUUGUUAGUUUACCCUAACAUCUCAUUUUAAGACCUCAAGAUCACCACUAGGUAGGGUAUGGAGGGAUGUUGUAGCUCGAGCAAUGCAGGGUUGUCAUGCUCAACAUUUCUUAGAUUUUUGUGAGGCUUUACACAAAAUGGGUCGAUUCGUAUAAUGUGUUAUCUAGAAAAUGGGUGGUAAAACGUAAAGUAGGUAGUUGAACGGGUCUGGUUGGUUGCGUAAUGGAUUAAAUGAAUAACUUUUAGUACGGAUACAAAUGGGUCGAGUUGGGUGACCUGUCGAGAAUAUGUGUUCAUUUUUAUUGUUUUUUAAAUAAAUGAUGAAUAGAUAAGAUUGUAAAAGUAUAUUGAUUGCUUCCUCCUUCACGCCGCUUUCUUCUUUCGUCUUCCUUCUGUUUGAUUUGAAGUGAACCAAAUAAUUAGGGUUUCCACUUCUUGCGUUUGCGAUUGAAAAGUUACAAUUGUUGAUUUCGGAUAUUGAUUUAUAGCUUCAAACGAAACCUAAACAGCUUAAAGCUCCGAUGUUGACUUAAGGUGAACUUUUAUUUCUUUCGAUCAAAAAAGUUGGGAACAUAUAUACUGAUUAUCUUCUUCAAGAGAUUACGGUAGAAUGAAGGUCGAAAUUUUUUAUGAGGUUUUGUUUCGGAUUCGCAACUGCAUGCUCGAUUUUAGGAAAAAUAGGGUUUGAUUAAAUUUGUUAUUACACUUGCGGAGUAGAGGUCUGUUACAAACUGUAGAAACAAACAAGAACCGUCCAAACCAAAGAAAGGCAGCUGGUUUUGCCAAUUUAAAAUAUGUAUGGUUUUGUUUACGUAGCUAAUGGGUUUGGAACUUUGGAACUGGCUAAUCCAUUGUAUGAACUUUUUCUUCCAUGUAUAGGAUUCCUUUAGGAAAACAGAGAAUCUGACAUUGUUCUUUUACAUUUGGAUGGCAAAUGUCCUAUUUUUUAGCUUAAAAUGUUAUAAUAUGAUGAUCUUUAAGGAAUGGUAUAGCUCUUUCAAGUGAGUGUGCUAUCAAAACAAGCUGAAAUAAUCCGGAUUCCUUUUCCAUGAGGUGAGCCAUGAGUAUUUGGUUUACUUUUUUAAAGUAGUUUUUGUACAAAUUGAAACGUUUGGGCUGGGUUGGGGUGGUCUUAUGAAUAUUAAUGCAUUAAUUAUGAUUCCAAAGAGUAAUCUUAUUGCGAUAACAAACAUUUAAGAUGUGUAUAGACUUCAGGUGACUUUUUUAAACCUAUUAGUGUUUCUGGCAUGAAGUAUGUUCGAUUCGUUUCCCCAAUCGUUGCUGCUCACUAAACAUGAAACUAAAUGAUGUUAAUAAUCUUUAACUAAAUUGAAGGAAUCCUGAGGAAAUCCCAUGGGUGAAGCUUAAUCCGAAUAUGUUUUUCAUAGAUAAGGACAAAGUUGUACACAUUUGAAGGUUAUCAUUGUUAGAUUGUUUAUUACAAAUGAAGUAUACGUUUCAUUUAUAAUUGAUUUAGCAGUUUAUUUUGUUAGGUGCAAAGAAGGUAAUUUUCGGUAGCUUCAUUUGGUUCGUUUCAUUGAUGAGGCACCUCAAUUGCAGGAGGCAGCAUGAUGAUUUCACUUUGUUGUGUGUUUUGUUACCAUUGAGUACUAAAUGGAAUACAUUUGGAUAGAGUUUUGAAUGUCAACAGUUCACUUAAAAGUAUUCUAUAUUCUCAGUUUAAGCUAGAGUUAUCAUGGUUGUGCCUACCUUAAAAGUAAUCUAUAUUCUUAGUUCGCUCCAUCGUUGUGAAUGAUGAUUUCACUUUGUUGUGUGUUUUGUUACCAUUGAGUACUAAAUGGCAUACAUUUGGAUACAGUUUUGAAUGAUUUAGUCAACAGUUCACUUA
rnacentral:lncRNA from 1 species